rnacentral:rRNA from 1 species
GAUCCUGGCUCAGGACGAACGCUGGCGGCAUGCCUAACACAUGCAAGUCGAACGGAGAAAGUUCAACACCAAGUAUUUCAUCCGCUGAAGUGUAGCGGUAAAAAUUGCGAAGCAAUUUUUACUACGCAUUAAAAGCAUGAACUAACACAGCGGUUGAAGUAUUAGGUGUUGAACUUUCUUAGUGGCGAACGGGUGAGUAACGCGUGGGCAACCUGCCCUCUAGAUGGGGACAACAUCCCAAGGAGGG